rnacentral:pre_miRNA from 1 species
UGGCAGUGUGGUUAGCUGGUUGUGUGCUCCGUACUACAACCACUAGCUGUAUUGCCGAUA